CUUUAGCUCAGUUGGUAGAGCAGCUGACUCUUAAUCAGCGGGUCCCGGGUUCGAGUCCCUGAA
rnacentral:tRNA from 1 species